UGAGGAAUAUUGGACAAUGGGCGCAAGCCUGAUCCAGCCAUGCCGCGUGAGUGAUGAAGGCCUUAGGGUUGUAAAGCUCUUUCACCCACGACGAUAAUGACGGUAGUGGGAGAAGAAGCCCCGGCUAAUUUCGUGCCAGCAGCCGCGGUAAUACGAAGGGGGCUAGCGUUGUUCGGAAUCACUGGGCGUAAAGCGUACGUAGGCGGACCGUUAAGUCGGAGGUGAAAUCCUGGGGCUCAACCCCAGAACUGCCUUCGAUACUGGCGGUCUCGAGUCCGGAAGAGGUGAGUGGAACUGCCAGUGUAGAGGUGAAAUUCGUAGAUAUUGGCAAGAACACCAGUGGCGAAGGCGGCUCACUGGUCCGGUACUGACGCUGAGGUACGAAAGCGUGGGUAGCAAACA
rnacentral:rRNA from 1 species